rnacentral:lncRNA from 1 species
AUAAGGAACAGUUAAAUUGUGAUCAUAUAUGCAUCAAAGAAGCGUACAAAUAAAAAGGACAUGUUUUAUAUAUUUGUAUUAUGUUAAUUAAACUAAACAACACUAUAAGCUGUAUUGUUUUUGUGAAGUAAAUAUACUACAAUGUACUGUAUGUAAGUACGUAUAUAUAUAUAUGCACAAAUUAGCUAUUACUUUCUUCAUCACAAUUACUACUAGUAUCCUCAAAUAAGUCAUAUUCAUUAUCAAUAAAAUGUUGUAAUGAUGAUAAAUAGGAUGUUGUGUCAAGUCUUCUAGUAAAUUCAUUUAUCCACCUGUUAGAUGCAUUUUUCCAUAUUUUAAAUAACUCUUUGAAUUUUAUUUGUAAAUUUUCUACACUUUGAUCAAAAUCAGUACCUAACGGUUUAUCGGUUAAAGUUACUUUUGUUAUACCAUCAGUAACCUUUUCACCCCAUCGUAUUAAAUUUUUUUUUCAUUUUUAUUGAUUGUGCUUUUGUUGUGCCUAUGUUUAAUUCAUCAGGAUGUAUACCUCUUUGUAAAGAUCUUUCAAUAUAAUCUUCAUAAUUUUUUAAUAUUCUAACUAUUAAAUCAGUAGUUGAAACACCCUCUGUUCUUUGAGUGGCUUUAAACUUACCUGAUUUUUUUAACCAUGCAUAUACAUCUUCAGGUGUUUCAUCAACUGAAUUAUUUUUAUUAUUUUUUUUUUUUUUUUUUUUUUUUUUUUUUUUUUUUAACUUUCUUGGACAAAUAAUAAUCAAACAAUAAAAUUUUUUAUUUUGAAAUUUUUUUUUAAUUA